rfam:Tupaia chinensis contig117310, whole genome shotgun sequence.
GUGGCCAAAGGUGACCACUGCUAGCAUAUGAGUCUUGGAGGAUGAAUAGUACGUGUCUGGAUCUCUGAGGUCCAA